UUGAUGUUGAUGUUGUGGUUGUUGCUGAAUUGGUAUUGUUUGCUGAUUAGAAAAGACUAGAAUAACGAAAGAUACUUGAUGAUGAUGAUGUUGACGGGGUGGUGGAUUUCUUCUUGCUUGAGGCCUCCUCUUCCUCCCACUGGAAAUUGCAUUGAUCUCACUAUCUUUCCUCUUGCUGAAACUACUGUCAUACUUCUUG
rnacentral:lncRNA from 1 species